rnacentral:rRNA from 1 species
GCAGGGAAUAGUAGGCAAUGGGCGAAAGCCUGACCUCGCGACGCCGCGUGAGGGAAGAAGGCCUUCGGGUCGUAAACCUCUUUUCUCGGGGAAGAAACAUGACGGUACCCGGGGAAUAAGUCACGGCUAACUACGUGCCAGCAGCCGCGGUAAAACGUAGGUGGCUAGCGUUAUCCGGAUUCAUUGGGCGUAAAGCGUGCGCAGGCGGCCCGGCAAGUCGAAUGUAAAAUCUCCUGGCUCAACUGGGAGGGACCAUCCGAUACUGCCAGGCUUGAGGGCAGCAGAGGGAGGUGGAAUUCCCGGUGUAGUGGUGGAAUGCGUAGAUAUCGGGAGGAACACCAGUGGCGAAAGCGGCCUUCUGGGCUGUUUCUGACGCUGUAGCACGAAAGCGUGGGGAGCAAACAGGAUUAGAAACCCGUGUAGUCC